GCAUCCUGGGGCUGGAGUAGGUCCCAAGGGUUGGGCUGUUCGCCCAUGAAAGCGGCACGCGAGCUGGGUUCAGAACGUCGCGAGACAGUUCGGUCUCUAUCCGUCGUGGGCGUAGGAAGAUUGAGGGGAGUCAUCUCCAGUACGAGAGGACCGAGAUGGCUGGACCGCUGGUGAGCCAGUUGGGGGGCCUCCCCCAGAGCUGGAUAGCUACGUCCGGAAGGGAUAAGCGCUGAAGGCAUCUAAGCGCGAAGCCGACUCCAAGACAAGUCUUCCCAUCACCGUUGUGUGAUCAAGAUCCCAGCAAGAAGAGCUGGUAGCUAGACUGCGGGUGGACACCUGGUAACAGGGGAAGCUAAGCAGGGCUAAUGAUCGUACGGCUUG
rnacentral:rRNA from 1 species